rnacentral:rRNA from 1 species
CACCUACGGGUGGCUGCAGUGGGGAAUAUUGGACAAUGGGCGCAAGCCUGAUCCAGCCAUGCCGCGUGAGUGAUGAAGGCCUUAGGGUUGUAAAGCUCUUUCACCGGAGAAGAUAAUGACGGUAUCCGGAGAAGAAGCCCCGGCUAACUUCGUGCCAGCAGCCGCGGUAAUACGAAGGGGGCUAGCGUUGUUCGGAAUUCCUGGGCGUAAAGCGCACGUAGGCGGGCAUUUAAGUCAGGGGUGAAAUCCCAGAGCUCAACUCUGGAACUGCCUUUGAUACUGGGUGUCUUGGGUAUGGAAGGGGUGAGUGGAAUUCCGAGUGUAGAGGUGAAAUUCGUAGAUAUUCGGAGGAACACCAGUGGCGAAGGCGGCUCACUGGUCCAUUACUGACGCUGAGGUGCGAAAGCGUGGGGAGCAAACAGGAUUAGAUACCCUUGUAGUC